GACGAACGCUGGCGGCGUGCCUAAUACAUGCAAGUCGAGCGGAACUGGGGGAGCUUGCUCCUUCCAGUUUAGCGGCGGACGGGUGAGUAACACGUGGGCAACCUGCCCUGCAGAUCGGGAUAACUCCGGGAAACCGGUGCUAAUACCGAAUAGUUUGGCGCCUCUCCUGAGGCGCUACGGAAAGACGGUUUCGGCUGUCACUGCAGGAUGGGCCCGCGGCGCAUUAGCUAGUUGGUGGGGUAACGGCCCACCAAAGCGACGAUGCGUAGCCGACCUGAGAGGGUGGCCGGCCACACUGGGACUGAGACACGGCCCAGACUCCUACGGGAGGCAGCAGUAGGGAAUCUUCCGCAAUGGACGCAAGUCUGACGGAGCAACGCCGCGUGAGUGACGAAGGUUUUCGGAUCGUAAAACUCUGUUGUGAGGGAAGAACACGUACCAACUAACUAUUGGUACCUUGACGGUACCUCACCAGAAAGCCACGGCUAACUACGUGCCAGCCGCCGCCGUAA
rnacentral:rRNA from 1 species